rnacentral:rRNA from 1 species
GACAGAGGGGGCAAGCGUUGCUCGGAAUUAUUGGGCGUAAAGGGUGCGUAGGCGGUUUUGUAAGUCUUGUGUGAAAUCUUCAGGCUCAACUUGAAGACUGCACGAGAAACUGCAGGGCUUGAGUGUGGGAGAGGUGAGUGGAAUUCCUGGUGUAGCGGUGAAAUGCGUAGAUAUCAGGAGGAACACCUGUGGCGAAAGCGGCUCACUGGACCACAACUGACGCUGAUGCACGAAAGCUAGGGGAGCAAACAGG